ensembl:lncRNA
GAAUUACUCCUUGCUGAAAUAACUGAAUGCUGAAUACAUAAUGACAUGCAGAUAAAAAGCAAAAUAUUAAGGAAAGUCAACCUUACAGUUUACUGCCAACACAGAAAAAUCUAGAAGACUGAUGCUGAAACUCCAACCCUUUGGCCGGGCCACCUGAUGCGAAGAACUGACUCAUUGAAAUAGACCCUGAUGCUUGGAAAGAUUGAAGGCAAGAGGAGAGGGGAUGACAGAGGAUAAGAUGGAUGGAUAGCAUCUGUGGACAUAAGUUUGAAAAACAGCAUUCAGACGGAGAGAUGGCUUCUCAGCAGCAAGAGCUGGAGCCAGAAGACAGGGAUGAUCUUUUAUUCUGUGCUGAAAUAGAUCACCAAGUAAUAAAUUAAUUUGUGACAAAGAUAUAUUUCUAG